GACGGAGGGUGCAAGCGUUGUUCGGAAUUACUGGGCGUAAAGGGCGCGUAGGCGGGAGGACAAGUCGGUCGUGAAAUCUCCGGGCUCAACCCGGAGGAGUCGGCCGAAACUGUUUUUCUUGAGGGAGGCAGAGGAGUCUGGAAUUCCCGGUGUAGCGGUGAAAUGUGUAGAGAUCGGGAGGAACACCGGUGGCGAAGGCGGGACUCUGGGCCUACCCUGACGCUGAGGCGCGAAGGCGUGGGGAGCAAACGGG
rnacentral:rRNA from 1 species